rnacentral:rRNA from 1 species
AGAGUUUGAUCAUGGCUCAGAAUCAACGCUGGCGGCGUGCCUCAGACAUGCAAGUCGAACGCGAAAGUCCCCUUCGGGGGAUAAGUAGAGUGGCGUCCGGGUGAGUAACACGUAGGUAAUCUACCUUCGGGUGGGGAAUAACCCAGGGAAACUUGGGCUAAUACCGCAUAAUGCAGCGGCACCACAUGGUGACAGUUGUUAAAGCGGGGGAUCUUCGGAUCUCGCGCCUGAAGAGGAGCCUGCGGCAGAUUAGCUAGUUGGUAAGGUAAUGGCUUACCAAGGCGACGAUCUGUAGCCGGCCUGAGAGGGCGGUCGGCCACACUGACACUGACAUACGGGUCAGACUCCUACGGGAGGCAGCAGUCGGGAAUUUUGGGCAAUGGGCGAAAGCCUGACCCAGCAACGCCGCGUGAAGGAUGAAAUCCCUCGGGAUGUAAACUUCGCAAGAAUGGGAAGAAUUAGUAGGGGCUAAUACCCUCUAUGAUGACGGUACCAUUUGUAAGCUCCGGCUAACUCCGUGCCAGCAGCCGCGGUAAUACGGGGGGAGCAAGCGUUGUUCGGAUUCACUGGGCGUAAAGGGUGCGUAGGUGGUGAGGUAAGUCGGAUGUGAAAGCUCGGAGCUCAACUCCGAAAUGGCAUUGGAAACUACCUUGCUCGAGGGUUGGAGGGGGGACUGGAAUACUUGGUGUAGCAGUGAAAUGCGUAGAUAUCAAGUGGAACACCAGUGGCGAAGGCGAGUCCCUGGACAACUCCUGACACUGAGGCACGAAAGCUAGGGGAGCAAACAGGAUUAGAUACCCUGGUAGUCCUAGCCGUAAACGGUGCAUGUUUGCUGUAAAAGGAAUCGACCCCUUUUGUGGCGGAGCCAACGCGUUAAACAUGCCGCCUGGGAAGUACGGUCGCAAGAUUAAAACUCAAAGAAAUUGACGGGGGCCUGCACAAGCGGUGGAGUAUGUGGCUCAAUUCGAUGCAACGCGAAGAACCUUACCUGGCCUUGACAUGCAUAUAGUAGAAGGGUGAAAGCCUGACGAGGUAGCAAUACCAGUAUGCACAGGUGCUGCAUGGCUGUCGUCAGCUCGUGUCGUGAGAUGUUGGGUUAAGUCCCGCAACGAGCGCAACCCCUGUGUCCUGUUGCCACCCCGGCGUGAGCCGGGAGCACUCUGGACAGACUGCCUCGCUUAAACGAGGAGGAAGGUGGGGAUGACGUCAAGUCAGUAUGGUCCUUACGGCCAGGGCUGCACACGUACUACAAUGCCCGGCACAAAGGGAAGCGAGACCGUCAGGUGGAGCAAAUCCCCUAAAACCGGGCCCAGUUCAGAUUGUCGUCUGCAACUCGACGGCAUGAAGCUGGAAUCGCUAGUAAUGGCGCAUCAGCUACGGCGCCGUGAAUACGUUCCCAGGCCUUGUACAUACCGCCCGUCACAUCAUGAAAGCCGUUUGUACCCGAAGUCACUGUGCCAACCGCAAGGAGGCAGGUGCCGAAGGUAUGGAUGGUGAUUGGGAUGAAGUCGUAACAAGGUAACCGUA